rnacentral:misc_RNA from 1 species
GUUUUUUAGGUUGACACGUUUAUCGACAAUGAGCUGUCUUAGUGGUGUAGAUUUUGGUGUUGAUCUUAGUGAUAUGCAUAAGAGGGUUUACUUUUCUUUUUUUGCAUGUGAUAUGUACGAUGUCAAUAUUAUAAAAUUGGGAAAAUAAUGAGAUACCUCAUAGAAUAUAAUAAACUCUUUUGGGAGUAACAAGUAAUUGAUAGGAGUAUAAAAGAGCUUGAGAAUAUGAGCAAAUAACCAUACCU